UAGAGUUUGAUCAUGGCUCAGAUUGAACGCUGGCGGUAUGCUUAACACAUGCAAGUCGAACGGAAACGACAAGAGCUUGCUCUUGGGCGUCGAGUGGCGGACGGGUGAGUAACGCGUAGGAAUCUGCCUAGUAGUGGGGGAUAGCCCAAGGAAACUUGGAUUAAUACCGCAUAAUAUCUAUGGAUUAAAGUGGAGGAUCUUCGGACUUCACGCUGCUAGAUGAGCCUGCGUAAGAUUAGUUAGUUGGUGGGGUAAAAGCUCACCAAGGCGACGAUCUUUAGCUGGUCUGAGAGGAUGAUCAGCCACACUGGGACUGAGACACGGCCCAGACUCCUACGGGAGGCAGCAGUGGGGAAUAUUGGACAAUGGGGGCAACCCUGAGCCAGCAAUACCGCGUGUGUGAAGAAGGCCUGAGGGUUGUAAAGC
rnacentral:rRNA from 1 species